rnacentral:lncRNA from 1 species
CAGUCCCCAAGGAUCGUCCAGUGUCUUGCCACAGACCUCGUCACCACAGGCCAUGCCACAUACACGUCACUCCUCAUUAUGCAGGUCGAGUGGCUGCGGGACCGGUCACUUAAUGGGGGCGGAGAUGCAAAGUACACCCGAGUCAUCUUAGGUUCAACUGUGUCACGCUGUGUUGGGGCUGGCGGGGUGGCCUGGUGACCAGGGCAGGCUCGCAGGCCGGGGCACCACCCCCAGGACGGCAAGAAGACACCAAGACCAAGAGGCGGUGGCCCAGCGGGGGUUAGGGUGACCAGCGCUCCCUUGGCCCUGGCGGCUGGGACACCAUCACCCUAACUUCUGGGGUUCUGCGCGGCGUCCCCGUCCCCGCCGGCCACCUCCAGAACUGUUCCCGCCCCAAACGAAACCGCCGCGAGGAGCCCCGCCCCGCCCUGGCGCCCUGCUGCUUCCUCCUUGGAGGUCGCGGGCGGGGACCUGGGGGAGGUCGGUGCCCGCGCGCGGCCCUGGGUCCAGAAUCGCAGGGGGAGCAGGUCUCCUCGGCUCCCUGUCCUCCUGUCCUCGGGUCCCCUGCCCUCCGUCCCCCGUGGGGCGGGACCACGUGGCGGUGCGCGCCGGGGACUUUCCCCUGAGGGCGCGGAGGCGGAGCGCACCCUGCCCAGASGCAGAAGGGGCGGCGCCUCUCCCGAGAGGCCACCGCGGCCACCCACAGGACCCAGGGCCACCACCGUGGCCACCCCGUGGACCAAGGACCAGCACCAGGGCCGCGGCCUGGGAAGAAGGCCCUGUCCGAGGGGCCACAGUCCGGGACCUCAGACCUCCCGGAACACUCGCUCUGCUCCUCACGACCCGGCGGGCCGCCCGCUCCUUAUGGCCGCACACAAAGGACAGGGACGGCUCUGGCUCCUGGGAGCUCACAGGUGUGCCGGGCGGCAUCCCCUUGGUGAACUGGCCUGAGGUGAGUCGCAGCCACUGACUGACCUGAGGUCUAAGUGGCUCCCGGUUUUCAAGUCCCUUUCUCCUCUGCCCCCCCACAGCACCCCCUGGCUCCCACCUCCCUUGGGGUCAAAGCCCCCAUCCUCCCUGUGACCCCCAGGCCCUGUCCUCCCUG